AUUGACCGCUAGCGGGAUGCUUUACACAUGCAAGUCGAACGAGUGGCGGACGGGUGAGUAAUAUAUCGGAACGUGCCCAGUAGCGGGGGAUAACUACUCUAAAGAGUGGCUAAUACCGCCUACUAUUGGAGCGGCCGAUAUCGGAUUAUCUAGUUGGUGGGGUAAAGGCUCACCAAGGCAACGAUCCGUAGCUGGUUUUAGAGGACGACCAUCCCACUGGGGACUGAGACACGGCCCAGACUCCUACGGGAGGCAGCAGGGGGGAAUUUUGGACAAUGGGGGAAACCCUGAUCCAGCCAUCCCGCUUGUAUGAGAAGGCCUUCGGGUUGUAAAGUACUUUUGGCAGAGAAGCGGUAUCUGCAGAAUAAGCACCGGCUAACUACGUGCCAGCAGCCGCGGUAAUUC
rnacentral:rRNA from 1 species